UACGUAGGGUGCAAGCGUUAAUCGGAAUUACUGGGCGUAAAGCGUGCGCAGGCGGUUUUGUAAGUCUGUCGUGAAAUCCCCGGGCUCAACCUGGGAAUUGCGAUGGAGACUGCAAGGCUAGAAUCUGGCAGAGGGGGGUAGAAUUCCACGUGUAGCAGUGAAAUGCGUAGAGAUCUGGAAGAACACCAAAGGCGAAGGCAGCAUCCUGGGAAGUUCCUGACGCUCGGGUGCGAAAGCCAGGGGAGCGAACGGG
rnacentral:rRNA from 1 species